GACGAACGCUGGCGGCGUGCUUAACACAUGCAAGUCGAACGGAAAGGCCCUGCUUUUGUGGGGUGCUCGAGUGGCGAACGGGUGAGUAACACGUGAGUAACCUGCCCUUGACUUUGGGAUAACUUCAGGAAACUGGGGCUAAUACCGGAUAGUAGCUCCUUCUGCAUGGUGGGGGUUGGAAAGUUUCGGCGGUUGGGGAUGGACUCGCGGCUUAUCAGCUUGUUGGUGGGGUAGUGGCUUACCAAGGCUUUGACGGGUAGCCGGCCUGAGAGGGUGACCGGCCAAAUGGGGACUGAGAUAAGGCCCAGACUCCUACGGGAGGCAGGAGUGGAGAAUAUUGCACAAUGGGCGGAAGCCUGAUGCAGCAACGCAGCGUGCGGGAUGACGGCCUUCGGGUUGUAAACCGCUUUCGCCUGUGACGAAGCGUGAGUGACGGUAAUGGGUAAAGAAGCAACGGCUAACUACGUG
rnacentral:rRNA from 1 species